GAGGAAUAUUGGUCAAUGGGCGAGAGCCUGAACCAGCCAAGUAGCGUGCAGGAUGACGGCCCUCCGGGUUGUAAACUGCUUUUAGUUGGGAAUAAAAAAAGGGACUUGUCCCUUCUUGUAUGUACCUUCAGAAAAAGGACCGGCUAAUUCCGUGCCAGCAGCCGCGGUAAUACGGAAGGUCCGGGCGUUAUCCGGAUUUAUUGGGUUUAAAGGGAGCGUAGGCCGGAGAUUAAGUGUGUUGUGAAAUGUAGACGCUCAACGUCUGACUUGCAGCGCAUACUGGUUUCCUUGAGUACGCACAACGUUGGCGGAAUUCGUCGUGUAGCGGUGAAAUGCUUAGAUAUGACGAAGAACUCCGAUUGCGAAGGCAGCUGACGGGAGCGCAACUGACGCUGAAGCUCGAAGGUGCGGGUAUCGAACAGGAUUAGAUACCCUGGUAGUCCGCACAGUAAACGAUGGAUGCCCGCUGUUGGUACCUAGUAUCAGCGGCUAAGCGAAAGCAUUAAGCAUCCCACCUGGGGAGUACGCCGGCAACGGUG
rnacentral:rRNA from 1 species